rnacentral:tRNA from 1 species
GCUGAUGUAGCUCAGUUGGUAGAGCAGCUGAUUUGUAAUCAGCAGGUCGGGGGUUCAAGUCCGUCCAUCAGCUCCA